rnacentral:rRNA from 1 species
GUAGGGAAUAUUGCGCAAUGGACGAAAGUCUGACGCAGCGACGCCGCGUGAGUGAUGAAGGCCUUAGGGUCGUAAAGCUCUGUUGAAUGGGAAGAAAAAAAUGACGGUACCAUUCGAGGAAGGACCGGCUAACUUCGUGCCAGCAGCCGCGGUAAUACGAGGGGUCCUAGCGUUGUUCGGAAUCAUUGGGCGUAAAGGGUGUGUAGGUGGCCAUGUAAGUCAGGUGUGAAAGCCCCGGGCUCAACCCGGGAAGUGCACUUGAUACUGCGUGGCUUGAGUACCGAAGAGGGUAGUGGAAUUCCAGGUGUAGUGGUGAAAUACGUAGAUAUCUGGAGGAACACCGGUGGCGAAGGCGGCUACCUGGUCGAGUACUGACACUGAGACACGAAAGCAUGGGGAGCAAACAGGAUUAGAAACCCGGGUAGUCC